UUAUUUUAGCAGUACAUAUCCUAAAAUUGGAAUGAUACAGAGAAGAUUAGCAUGGCCUCUGCCUGAGAAUGACAUGAAAAUUUGUAAAGCAUUCCAUAUUUUU